AUCUUCAAGACCCUUUGAAAGAACAGCUGCCUAGCCCAGGCAACCUCUCUUCUUAGCCUACACGGAAGAAAUGAAAUUCACUCCCAAAGUGCGGGUGUUUUCAGGACCCAGUGAACUGGAACUUGCAGCGUCUUCUGCAAGCUCCGUUGGGCCGGCCUUUCAUGUGAGCAGGAAGGAAAUGACUGACAACUUUCUCGUCUUUAUGGAAGGCGGACUUUAUUUCCAGCUCUCAGGUCAAAAGGCGGCGGAAAGAAAACAAAACCACUAAGAGAUAAAGGCUAAAAAUAAUGUCCUGUGGGGUGAAUCAACCCAGUUUGGGACCCUGAAGACAGCAACAAGGCAAGGAUGUGCGUAGGGCUAAAUCUGCGUCAUCCUUCACAGGUGGUCGUGACCAGAAUCAAAAUGCCUGGGCAAGAGAGGAAGAAGUUCUGCAAACAGACAAGCACAUAACACCACCCUGACACUGAGCAGAUCAUCUCCAGCUCCCUUCAUAUUAUGCUACUGGAGACCAAUCUUUAUAACCAGAAGAGGAGGAGGAGGAGUUAUUCUAACCUGUCGUUUUCUUCCUUUACAUCACUUUUUCCUUUUAGGUCAUAUCCAAAAAAGGAAGCUUCACCUGUGAAUUCUUUCUAUGAGAUCCACUACUGGGAAAUUCUGGGAGCUCCAGGGAAGAGCUGCACAGCACAUUUCUGGCUAAAUAAAUAAGGUUUUCUAUCUUGAUUUAUUCAUUCAGCGAGUACAUGUCUCCAUGUCAAAGGCUGACCUAAGAAUCUUCCUUAUAAAAAUUCAGCAAGCAUAUCAUUGCAUUUUUUUUAAUUAAAAGGAUUGUGUGACAAGGGAAGCAGUAUUCUACAGUUUAUCAAGAAUGAGUAGAGGAAUCACUAUACAAAGUAUAAUUUGUGCCUUUUUUCAUAUCUGACUAUUCUAUGUACUUUUUUUUUUUUUUUUUUGAGAUGGAGUCUCACUCUGCCACCAGGCUGGAGUGCAGUGGCGCGAUCUCAGCUCACUGCAAGCGAUUGUCCUGCCUCAGCCUCCUGAGUAGCUGGGAUUACAGGCAUGCACCACCACACUCGGCUAAUUUUUGUAUUUUUAGUAAAGACAGCGUUUCACCAUGUUAGCCAGGAUGGUCUCAAUCUCCUGACCUCGUGAUCCACCCGCCUCGGCUUCCCAAAGUGCUGGGAUUACAGGCAUUGAGCCAUCGCGUCAGCCUUUCUAUGUACUUAUUUUGUAGAAUUCCUUCUCAUCUGCUUAAAUAACCAUAAGUGAUGAGAAAUCUACCAAGUAUAAUAUGACUUUUCAUUUGCAAGUGUGUACCGCCCCAAGAAACAUCAUGGCGCCUUCUUCAAAGUACGCAGAGAGUACUCUUCAGAUUGUAAGUCUGGCUCAAGAAUAAAGAAUGGAGAGAUGUUCCUAGGCAAGUUGGAGGCUUCUAAUCCCCACCCACACACUGCCACACCUUACCCCACAUUCUGACACAGUCACCCAGACCCCUUGCUCUGUAGACAGACAAAUUCACAGAAAGUCAGUAUGUGCCUCAAGGCCCACCCUCAAUAAGAACAAACGGGGUCCACUUAGAAUUCUCCCCAAACCACAGCAAUUUAAUAUCAAGGGCACCAAAGAGAAAAACAAGACAAUUCCCAUUUAGGACAUAAAUGAAUACUACUGUUAAAUAUGAUUUUUAAAGUCAACAGAUAAUUAAGAGGAUAUUUUAAGAACAUUUGCCAUUUAGAUCUAACCUUUUGAAAUUGGUGUCACAGUGGCCAAGUGCCAAGGGGCAGUCUCAGCAGCAGACUAUUUACCAAGAGGGAUCUUGCUCAGACUCUGUUUUACUCUGUGAUGUUCACUGUAUUACAGGAGUAAGUGAGGAUCUGAGGAUAGCUUUUUUUCAUCUUGAGGGACCCCAAAGUUUCUAUAAAAGAACGUGGGAAAAUCCAUAGGUACUAAAGGGAGUAUCUUCUAUCAUUUCCAUAUUGUCAGUUGAAAUAAGGAAUAAGCAUGUAUAUAGGUCAGCAGGCUUUUUCUUUGUAAUUCUCUGCGGUCAUCUCUCUUAGGGGCGUAACUACUGCUCUACAAUAACAAAGAAUUGGUGGAUAAUUAAGCUGCUUUACACAGAGAGGGUGUUUUUUGUUUUGUUUUCUUUUGUUUGUAUGUUUGUAUUUUUAAUUUAAAAAGUGCAUUCACAGCCAGGUGCGGUGGCUCAUGUCUGUAAUCCCAGCACUUUGGAAGGCCGAGGUGGGCGGAUCACCUGAGGUCGGGAGAUCGAGACUAGCCUGGCCAACAUGAUGAAAUCCUGACUGUACUAAAAAUACAAAAAUUAGCUGGGUGUGGUGGCACAUGCCUGUAAUGCCAGCUACUCGGGAGGCUGAGGCAUGAGGAUCGCCUGAACCCGGGAAGUAAAGGUUGCAGCAAGCCGAGAUCGCGCCACUGCACUCCAGCCUGGGUGACAGAGUGAGACUCUGUCUCAAAAAUAAUAAUAAUAAAAUAAUUAAAAGUGUAUUCAGUGUGGUUUCUCAGUGCACAUGGUGAGGACAUGCUUCUGUAAGCCUGUUAAGUAAGAGUGCCUUCUCCAAUUAAACAUGCAAAGAAGGGUCUUUCCAUUUCCAUAUUGAGAGAGAGCAAAUAGAACAAAUUCUAUGCACUUAAAUGAUUAUUUCAAGACUUAAAAACCUCGGGAACAUUCUGAUUCCAGACAUCCAUAUAGCUCUUCACCAUAGAUGAGUCAACUCAUUUCAACAAUCACUUGCCCCCAUAGACAAGGAUGACACUCGAUGAUGUAGGAGAUACACAAAUAAGUGCUCAUGAGUUUAAGGUAUGUUGCCUUGGAGAGAUUUUUCCAGGUGAGACUGAUUUGGGUUUGAGACAUGGGGGUAAUACUUGCUUCCUCCAUGAUUACUAGAAAGUCUUUCCUCUCCUCCGUCCCCACACCCUGGUCUGAUUAGUGCAUGAGAAGACUCAUGCGAUCCUGCCUUGUGCUGGCCUAGUGGAACUUCUAACUCAUUCCAAGAUCUAUUAGGUGACUUCAGGUGACUUUAGGAGUUACCAGGAAGAGGGGGAAAAAUAUGAUGGUAGCCUACCUACACAGGUGUGGUUGAAAGUACCUGAGUCUGGGAGUCAGAAAAACGAUAGGUUCAAAUCCUAGCUUUUCCGUUUUAUUUAUAUUAGGCAAUCAGUCCUUUUGAACCUCAACUUCUCACCUAUAAAAAUGGAGAGAAAUAAAACUGGUCUCUCACACUAGUUGUAAGAAUUAAAUGAAAUUACAUAUAAUCAUUUAGUUACCAAGAAACAAUACUGAGUAAUACCACAUGCCACUCAUGUAUGAUAGUAAUUUUAUAACUGUUAAUUCAAUUCUUAUCAUAUGUCAGCCACUGAGCUGGCAUAUAUUAUUUUACUUAAUCUUUAAAGCAACCUAUAGAAUUAGCCUCAUCUUACAAGUGAAGAAACUAAGACAUCUAAAGGCGAAGAAAUCUGCCCGAGCUUGUACAGUUUCACACCAAGAAAGCCUGACAAUAAAAUCCAGGUUCGACCAGUACCCUGGACUCUUCCCUGUGGAACAGUGCCUGAUAAUUGAUAAGUGAUUCAUAAGUAUUUACUGCUUCUGCAAGAGGGUCUGUUUCUUAUUUUUAAAAGUUAAAUCUAACUGAUACUUUACCUAUUGUUAUUUGCCCCUGGAAUACAGAGAAAUCUUUAUAGGAGAAGGAGGAAGAGGAAUUUACAAUCUGCUCCACUGCAGUGACUCAUUUGAUUCCAGUGAAGGAGUCCCAAAAGCCAACCAGCUCAAGGAAAGGAUGACCCAUCCAAA
rnacentral:lncRNA from 1 species